rnacentral:rRNA from 1 species
UACGUAGGGGGCGAGCGUUGUCCGGAGUUACUGGGCGUAAAGCGCACGUAGGCGGUCUUUUAAGUCGGGGGUGAAAUCCUGGAGCUCAACUCCAGAACUGCCUUCGAUACUGGAAGACUUGAGUCCGGGAGAGGUGAGUGGAACUGCGAGUGUAGAGGUGAAAUUCGUAGAUAUCGGGAGGAACACCGGUGGCGAAGGCGGCGAUCUGGGUCGAUACUGACGCUGAGGUGCGAAAGCGUGGGGAGCAAACAGG